rnacentral:rRNA from 1 species
UACGUAGGCAGCGGGCGUUGUUCGGAGUUACUGGGCGUAAAGAGUGCGUAGGCGGUUUUCUAAGUUUGGUGUGAAAUCUCCCGGCUUAACUGGGAGGGUGCGCCGAAAACUGGAAGGCUUGAGUAUGGGAGAGGUAAGCGGAAUUCCUGGUGUAGCGGUGAAAUGCGUAGAUAUCAGGAGGAACACCUGCGGUGUAGACGGCUUACUGGACCAUAACUGACGCUGAGGCACGAAAGCGUGGGUAGCAAACAGG